rnacentral:rRNA from 1 species
UACAGAGGGUGCGAGCGUUAAUCGGAAUUACUGGGCGUAAAGCGCGCGUAGGCGGCUUUGCAAGUCGGGUGUGAAAUCCCCAGGCUUAACCUGGGAACUGCAUUCGAGACUGCAUUGCUAGAGUAUGGGAGAGGGAAGUGGAAUUUCCGGUGUAGCGGUGAAAUGCGUAGAUAUCGGAAGGAACGCCGGUGGCGAAAGCGGCGUGCUGGACCCCUUCUGACGCUGAGGCGCGAAAGCCAGGGGAGCAAACGGG